rnacentral:lncRNA from 1 species
AAUGACUAGGGAAAAACCUAAGGGUGUUCAAAAAUAACAGAGACAGUCCUACUGGAAAGUAUGAAAGGUCAGUAACUUUACCGAAAAAGACUUGUGGAUAUUUGUGUUAGGUAUUUUAUCUUACCUUUCCCCAUUCCCAGGUCACUAUUAAAAGUUUUGAUAUUUUAAUUUUACCUGAAAUCGUGUUAAAGUCUGCCUGCCUCUGUUACACUAACAUUUUUUGUUUUUAUUUUGAAGAAGUAUUUUUGGGAAGUCUUUUGAGGAGAAGAAGUAAAUAAGUCAUUUGAGAACAGAAUCCAUGUUAUCUCUACCCUUGAGGUGUUUUCAGUAAAUAUAGGUGGGCAUUGACAUAUCAAAAAUGAAUAAAUCAUAAGAGUGAACAUUAGGCAAAAUCAGUUUAUAAAAGAAAAUAGUUAAAUUGGAUGCGACCGAAAUAUGACAGUUGUGGCAGGACGUGUUCAUGAAAGUCACUGUAAAUUCUAAUAUUGUUGUCAUUACUUUAAGAAAAGAUUUUCGGGAACAUCUCUGUCUGUCAAGGAACCAUGGUAAUUUUAUAUUGUGAUUGGCUUAAAAAGUUUACAUUUUAGGAAUCUAUGUGAAAGAAAAUGAAGUAGCCAAGAACUAGUAAAAUUUUAGCUAAAUAAAUAAAGGGGGGAGUUCCCUUUGUGGCUCAGCAAUUAACGAACUCAACUAGGAUCCAUCAGGAUGAGGGUUCCAUCCCUGGUCUUGGCUCAGUGGAUUAAGGAUCUGGCGUUGCUGUGAGCUGUGGUGUAGGUUACAGAUGCGGCUUGAAUCCAGCGUGGUUGUGGCUGUGGCAUAUGCCAGCAGCUGUAGCUCUGAUUCGACCCCUAGCCUGGGAAUUUCCACAUGCUGCAUGUGCGGCUCUAAAAAGCAGAAAGAGAGAGAGAAAGAGGGAAAGCAAGCAAGAAAGAAAGGAGUGAGUUUACUUUCAUCUAAACCUAUAGGCAUGCCCACAGAAAUAAAGGCAAAGGGUAAGAAAGUAUAUAAUGACAAUACCAAUUAAAAUAUAACACCUACAGAGUCAAACAAAACAAAGUUCAGUAUGUUACUAUGCUUUUAAACAAAAGGGAAACACACUUUAAAAUUACUGUAACCUUAGGAAGAAAGCCUUUCUAAAAGGCCCUGUGCAUUGUACCAUGCCCCCCAUUUACCCAGAAUCAAAGUUAUGAAAAGACAUUAGUAGAGCAAAGGAGGGCAAAGGCUGGUGGACGCCGAAAGACCCAUAUCUUCCUAGCAGUAGGAUAAUUUUUAUUCUUAGGACAUGGGAGGUAAAAAUAGAUGACCUCACCAUCCUGAGACUUAAUUGAAUCAAACCAGUCCUUUCCUGCUUUCAACCUUUCUCCUCUAAGAGACAUUCUAAUUGUAUCUCAAAAUAGUUUCCCUCUGUAGUCACCUCUCUGUCCUUUUAACGCCAUUGCCUUCACAAACCAAUGCUAACUCCUGCCAUGUUAUACAUGCUAACUAAAGAAUUUCCAGUCCAGAUGUUUGCAAUGGAUAACAAAGCUGUUUGCAAAUGUGGACUAUAUCAUUCAUUCCUUCAUUCCACUAAUGUUUCUGAAUGGCCAGUGGGUAUAGGGACUACUCAGCAGAUACAUGAUAGUUUCUGCUUUUAUGUACAAAUUGCAGUCUAAAAAGCACAGAAACAGGAGGAAAGGACAUGCAGAAAUGUCCACUUGAAGAUGUUCUGAGGGUCUAGGAGUAUUGGUAGUGAUUCCACAUAUUCUGCAUUGGGAGGACAUUGUUUGAAUUAAGAGCUAUUCACGAGUUCUUUGGGCUGGGCUCUGUUUCUUACCAUUGGCAUAAAAGAGUCCCAGGCUCCCCCUGCCCCAGAUGGGUACCAGAGUAACAUCAUGGCAUGUGGCCAAGGCAGCAAAAGGUUGAUUCAGGAUGUUCAAGGGGAGAGAGGAACAGAGACGGAUGAUCCUGUUCCUGCUCCUGCGCUAAAAAGGAGGUAUAGGUAUCUUAUGGGUAAAAGAUGAUGAGCUAAUUUCCCGGUUUAAAUUUGGAGCACUGCCAUUUGCAUGUUUGGGCCGGGGAGGUGAUAUCUACUUGUAGCUCAAUUUAAAUUACCCACAAGUAAGUGGAAAACAUGCUUCAGCCUCAAAGUCUGUCCCUGCAGUCCCCCAGCUGUAACUAAACUUCCCACGGCUUUGACCUCCAAUAUGGGUCAUGUGAUUAAGACAUCUUUCAACCUGCAGGUGGAGGAAGUUAGAUGGUCUCAGAGAUGAGAGAUAAGGAUGGAAAGUGUGCUUGAAAGAGGUCCCUGAAUCGCUGCAGGAGCAGCCAGAUUUGAGGGAGAGCCGUUGUGAUUGAGAGGUGAAGGGUCUGUGGUUAGAAGUCUGGGAGGAUUAAAAAGCAAUGUUUAAGACCGCAGGCUUCAUAAUUCUAGUUCAAAACCAAAUGCAAAGAGAAAAAAGGGAACUGUUCACUUUUGGUUCCCUGGGGCCUGUUGUAGUGCACCAUCCAACCAGAUGCAGUGCAGUUUCGCUUGUCCAGUCAGUGUCAGCACAAUUGACAACCAAGCAUUAUUGAAAAAACCUGGACUCCACCACAAACUGGAGGCUGUCUCAGUUCUCGCUUUGGGAGCAUAACUGCAGGAGUGGAGGAUAGAGACACAACCCUGGGACAUCCUAGAGUUCAGGGAACAAGACUCAGAGUCAAAAACCCCAGGAAGCACCUACAGAGCUGGAAAGGAGGUGGGUAGCUGCCGCUUUUUGAUGUCAGACACAGGUGAGCCUCCAUGCCCGAGAGAAGUGGGUGAAGACAGCCUUUAAAUGGCAAGCAUCACCUAACAAUUUUUUUUGGUUGUAUGAAAUUCUUUUAUUUUUUCCUUUAUUUUAAAAUUAUAGUUGACUUACAAUGUUCUGUCAAUUUCUGCUGUAUAGCAAAGCAUCCCGGUUAUACAUAUAUGUACAUUCUUUUUCUCGUAAUAUCUUCUGUCAUGUUCCAUCACAGGUGAUUGGAUGUAGUUCCCUGUGCUAUACAGCAGGACCUCAUUGCUUUUCUUUAUUUUUAAAUUGGAUUCUAAUUGAUUUACAAUGUUGUGUUAGAGUAUUUACCUAGACAAGCAUUAUAUUCUUUAUGUAUUUUUUCAUCUCGAAUAUGCUUAGGAACUCUGCCCACACAAAACUCAGUUAAAAAUAGACAUUUCCCCCCAUUUUUUCUUAUUUACAUUUAACUCUUUACGUUAGAGUAUAAAGGGAGGCUUGGAUUGGGCCAUUUCACCCCAAACCUUUUUUGAACAUGUAGUUGUGAUGGUCCUUUUUACCUUACCUCCUGUUACUAGCUGUAACAUUCUAUUACUAGGCUAUGUUUCAGGAAAUUGAUCCUGUUUUAUCCUUAUGCCAAGUUUUGCACCAAUUCCACAUUUUUUUUUUUUUCUUUUUAGGGCUGCAUCCAUGGCAUAGAGAGGUUCCCAGGCUAGGGGUCGAAUUGGAGCUGUAGCUGCUGGCCUACACCACAGCCACAGCAAUAUGGGCUCUGAGCCACAUCUGUGACCUAACACCACAGCUCAGAGCAAUGCCGGAUCCUUAACCCACUGAGCAAGGCCAGGGAUAGAACCUGCAUCCUGAUGGAUACUAGUCGGGUUCAUUAACCACUGAGCCAUGACAGGAACUCCCAUGCUGUUUUAUUUGCGGUGGUUUUAUGUGUUUUAUGUUCUGUGGGUAACUUACUAUAUUCACACUUCUGUUUGAGACUUUUAAAACUAUUAUUAUACUUACUCUUUCAAAUGAAUGUUAAAAUAAUUUUGUCAAGUGCACAAAAGGAACAUCAUCAUUGAAUUAAACCAUGAUAUUAAUUGCAAAAAUACUUUUCAAUUCUAGUUAAUGCUUUUGGGUAGAAAAACAUGUGCAUCUUAAUAUAUUUGAUCUCCUUUUGCAUCUUCAAAUUAAGUUCUGUAGCUUUUUUUCAUAGUGAUUGCAUUUUCUAAUUCUAGAUAUUUAAUAGGUUUUUUUUUUCUUUGCUUCUGUGAAUAUCAGUAUGUUUUUGUUUUAGCUUCUAAUAUUUGGUUGUUGCUAUAGGAGAAGUCUAGUGAUAACCUUAUUGUGUAUGACAACUUACUAGCCUUAAUUGUUUUAAAAGUUUUAAAAUUGUAAAUAAUGCUGCAUUGAACUUUGAGGAAUAUGCAUCUUUUUGAAUUAGUGUUUUUGUCUUCUUCUGAUACAUAUCCAGGAGUGGAACUAUAGAAUCAUAUGGUAGUUCUAGUUUUAAUUAGGGAGCAACUUAAAUACUGUUUUCCAUGGUGGCUGCACCAAAUUACAUUCCCACCAAUAAUGGCCAAGAAUUCCUUUUUCUCCAGGUCUUCAACAGCUUUUGUUAUUUGUAGACUUUUUGAUGACUUUCUGACAGGCAUGAAGUGAUUCUCAUUGUGGUUUUGAUUUGUAUUUCCCUGAUGAUUAGAAAUACUGAGUUUCUGGAAUUCCCAUUGGGGUUCAGCGGAAACAAACCUGACUAGUGUCCAUGAGGAUGCUGGUUUGAUUCCUGGCCUGGCUCAGUGGGUUAAGGAUCAGGUGUUGCCAUGAGCUGUGGCAUAGGUUGCAGAAGCGGCUGGAAUCUGGCAUGGCUGUGGCUGGCUGCUGUAUCUCUGAUUCAACCCCUAGCCUGGGAACUUCCAUGUGCCAUGGGUGUGGCCCUAAAAAAAAAGAAAAAAAGAAAUACUAAGCAUCUUUCUAUAUGCCUAUUGAUCAUGUCUGCCUUUUUUUUGAAAAAUGUCUAUUCAAGCCUUCUACCCAUUUUCUAAUUGAAUUGUUUCUUUGACGUUGAAUUGUAUGAACUGUUUGUAUAUUUUGGAUAUUAACCCCUUAGCAGGCAUGUCAUUUGCAAAUAUUUUCUUC